UACGAAGGGGGCUAGCGUUGCUCGGAAUCACUGGGCGUAAAGCGCACGUAGGCGGAUUGUUAAGUCAGGGGUGAAAUCCUGGAGCUCAACUCCAGAACUGCCUUUGAUACUGGCGAUCUCGAGUCCGGGAGAGGUGAGUGGAACUGCGAGUGUAGAGGUGAAAUUCGUAGAUAUUCGCAAGAACACCAGUGGCGAAGGCGGCUCACUGGCCCGGUACUGACGCUGAGGCACGAAGGUCAGGGGAGCAAACGGGG
rnacentral:rRNA from 1 species